rnacentral:rRNA from 1 species
AACGAACGCUGGCGGCAUGCCUAACACAUGCAAGUCGAACGAGACCUUCGGGUCUAGUGGCGCACGGGUGCGUAACGCGUGGGAACCUGCCCUUAGGUUCGGAAUAACUCCCCGAAAGGGGUGCUAAUACCGGCUAAUAUCUUCGGACCAAAGAUUUAUCGCCUUUGGAUGGGCCCGCGUUGGAUUAGCUAGUUGGUAGUGUAAAAGCCUACCAAGGCGACGAUCCAUAGCUGGUCUGAGAGGAUGAUCAGCCACACUGGGACUGAGACACGGCCCAGACUCCUACGGGAGGCAGCAGUGGGGAAUAUUGGACAAUGGGCGAAAGCCUGAUCCAGCAAUGCCGCGUGAGUGAUGAAGGCCUUAGGGUUGUAAAGCUCUUUUACCCGGGAUGAUAAUGACAGUACCGGGAGAAUAAGCACCGGCUAACUCCGUG